CUCAUGUUUAACUAGGAAUGGAUUUCUAUUCGAAAUUAAAGGAAAAGAGAGACGGGAACUCCGGUGUCCCCUCCGACAACCCGCGACGGCCUAAUCCAGCGCGUACACAACCCGCAACUACAUAAGGGAGAUUGGUGAACCUAACGGUGGUGUUCGUACGGUCAGACGAGUGACGUCGGUGGUUUUAAUGGAGUAAUUAGUAGCGGAGGCUAGGGUUUCUUAUUCUGUAUAUUGACAUGAGGGUUGAUUAACUACUGUUACGCCAUAAUAUUGCAGAAAUGGUGGUGGUUUGCUCACACCUGGUGUAUGAAGAUGAUCUAUGGCAGGAAAUUCGAUCCAUUUUAUAAACAAUUAUGUGCCUAAAACCCAAGAUUGAAGAUCCCUGCUCUGUGGUUUUUUGUGUGUGGCCGGAAAGUUGAAGGUGGCCGGAUUUCUUCUUACAAGCUGGCAUGAAGACGGGGUGGUACCACCAGCCUCAUCAGUUGUACCGCAGCAGUUUAGGAAGAGAGAGGAACACGUUGCAGAAAAUUGAACGUGGCAAAAAACUAAAUUAUGAAGACCCCAUACUUAUCCUUUCCUUGCCAAGUUCAUCACAUCUCGAGGAAAAAAGGAGUUCUAGCUAGAGAAAAUGAAAGGUGUUUGGGGUGCCUAAAGUAUGAUCCUUACAAGCAAAAAAAUUUCAGUUGAACGGGUUGCUUGAUGUUGGUA
rnacentral:lncRNA from 1 species